AAAAAAAAAUCAAACGGAUGCGAAUGCAUUGUGGGUAUUAUAAUUAUUUAUGCUAGUGACUAGGUGGUAUAGUUUUAAAUAAAAUAGAUGUAAUAAUAAAUAACUAAAGCCUUAAUAAAUUUGCUAUAAAAAAAUAACACAAACGAAUAUAUACUACUUGAUAGAUAUCAACUUGUAAUGCAAUGUAAAUAUUAUACAUGAUGUUGAAUAAAUAA